UACGUAGGGGGCAAGCGUUAUCCGGAUUUACUGGGUGUAAAGGGUGCGUAGGCGGCAAAGCAAGUCAGAUGUGAAAUCUAUGGGCUCAACCCAUAAACUGCAUUUGAAACUGCAUUGCUUGAGUGAAGUAGAGGCAGGCGGAAUUCCCCGUGUAGCGGUGAAAUGCGUAGAGAUGGGGAGGAACACCAGUGGCGAAGGCGGCCUGCUGGGCUUUAACUGACGCUGAGGCACGAAAGCGUGGGUAGCAA
rnacentral:rRNA from 1 species